GGGAGUAUAGCUCAGUGGUGAGUGCAUGCUUAGGAUGCAUGAGGUGCUGGGUUCAAUCCCCAGUACCUCCA
rnacentral:tRNA from 1 species